AACAUAGAUACACUAACCUCUAGAAGGACACCUUAACAUUGGUAAGGGGAAGAAAUACAAAUAAGAAAAGGGGGAGAAACUCCUAUUAAAUAUGCAUUAGACAUGGUAACGUCAGUGUAACAUAUAAAAGUGGCAUCCCAGGGCAAUAGGGGAGCCCUUAGGAAGGGCCAGAAUGGUGCCUACCAGUGAAGAUGAGGAAGGUGAUAGUGAUGAAGAGAUUGGCCAACAUUUCAGGUUGUUCUGCAAGGGAUGGUCACAAAGUCCUCACAAGCCCUCAUCCGGUGAGAUGCCAAAGCUGGAAUCCUGAUGGUGAUGUCACACAUACUAUUGAACCCUACUGGAUUUUCAAGCCUGCCUAUAAUAUUAAGCACUGAACACAAUGUCAGCAAGACGAGAGACAAACUAUGCAAUGAUGAUGUUUAAUGUAAUUUGGAAGAAAAGCAGCAGUGCAUAAUGAAGAAGGUUCUCUUUGUUGC